CACACUUCCACAAACCCUUUCUCCUCCAAUUUUCUCCUUCUCUAGAACCUUCAUCCCCUCUUCUCUAACCUAUCAUUCUUGCCUUGAAUCAAGAAGAAAACUCAAAGAUUUCUCCUUCAUCUCUUGAGAAUGAGCUUUCCUUAGGGUUUUUGAGAAGUUUUGAGGAGGUGAGACUUCAACCAAGGGGAAAGAGUCGGUGGAGAAGUAACACCGGGGUGUCUUAGCUCGCCAAGUUUGUGAUAGUAUGGUAGCGGGAUAGAAGCGUGAAGUGCUUGGCAGAGUAGUUUGUAUUUUUUUUAAGCCGUGUAUGAUGCUUAAACAUUCUGGCAUGUAUUUAUUGGAUCCACUAGGAUGUUACCAACCCUAAUAUUAUUAUGUAUCUUUUUUUUUUCUUAGAUACUUUUAUAUAUGUUGGUUAGAUUUAUGUUGGUUAGAUUUAUGUUGUGUAUGAGAAGUAUACUCUCUAUGUGAAUGGUUGUUGUCAUUGUUAUUAUGAACAAAAUGUUAUGAUUA